CAGGUGGGAAGCUUGGGUGAGGGUAGAAGAGGUGUAGAGUCCUGUCUGUGCAGAGGGACAGGAUUCUCUCCUGGGCGGGGGGUAUGCAUGUGUCCUGCUCUAGGGUAGGGAGUAGUAUCCUGUUGAGGGGUGACUGACAUUCUAACCUCCUUCUAAACCCCACAACAGGAGAAGUUCCUAGAGAUCAGUCGUCUCCACUUCCGCACAGUGCCUUCCAAUCCCCACUACUUCUUCUAUUGCCCUCCAUCCAGCAGGCGAGAAGAUGAGGGGCCUCGGGACACAGUAGACAGAAAAAUCAGUGACCUGGAGUUUUCAGAGGCUGAGCUUAUGGGAGAAGAAGGAGACACAUCUGCCUGCUGUGUGGUCACUGAGAGUGACCCAGAGCUAGAGGUAGAAUACCGGGAGAGCCGUGAAUCAGACCUGGGGCCUGCUGGGCUAGACUCUGCCUCGCUGUCAGAUGUAGACACUGUGAAUCCUGAUGAAGACUCCUUCAGUAUCUUGGGGGGCGACUCACCCACUGGGCCUGAGAGCUUCCUUCAUGA
rnacentral:sRNA from 1 species